rnacentral:rRNA from 1 species
GACGAACGCUGGCGGCGUGCUUAACACAUGCAAGUCGAGCGGAAAGGCCCUUUCGGGGGUACUCGAGCGGCGAACGGGUGAGUAGCACGUGAGUAAUCUGCCCUUGGCUUUGGGAUAACCACCGGAAACGGUGGCUAAUACCGGAUAUGACGGGCUCCGGCAUCGGGGUUCGUGGAAAGUUUUUCGGCCAGGGAUGUGCUCGCGGCCUAUCAGCUUGUUGGUGGGGUAAUGGCCUACCAAGGCUUCGACGGGUAGCCGGCCUGAGAGGGUGACCGGCCACACUGGGACUGAGACACGGCCCAGACUCCUACGGGAGGCAGCAGUGGGGAAUAUUGGACAAUGGGCGGAAGCCUGAUCCAGCAACGCCGCGUAAGGGAUGACGGCC